rnacentral:sRNA from 1 species
UUUUGUUUUUCUUCUUUAAUU